rnacentral:rRNA from 1 species
UACAGAGGGGGCAAGCGUUGUUCGGAAUUACUGGGCGUAAAGGGCGCGUAGGCGGCCUGUUAAGUCGAACGUGAAAUCCCUGGGCUCAACCCAGGAACUGCGUCCGAAACUGGCAGGCUCGAAUUCGGGAGAGGGAUGCGGAAUUCCAGGUGUAGCGGUGAAAUGCGUAGAUAUCUGGAGGAACAUCGGUGGCGAAGGCGGCAUCCUGGACCGAUAUUGACGCUGAGGCGCGAAAGCCAGGGGAGCAAACGGG